rnacentral:rRNA from 1 species
CACACGCGGCAUUGCUGGAUCAGGGUUGCCCCCAUUGUCCAAAAUUCCCCACUGCUGCCUCCCGUAGGAGUCUGGGCCGUGUCUCAGUCCCAGUGUGGCUGAUCGUCCUCUCAGACCAGCUACUGAUCGUCGCCUUGGUGGGCUCUUACCCCACCAACUAGCUAAUCAGACAUCGGCCGCUCCUAUCGCGCGAGGCCGUUACCGGUCCCCCGCUUUCACCCUCAGGUCGUAUGCGGUAUUAGCUAAUCUUUCGAC